rnacentral:rRNA from 1 species
UAGGGAAUAUUGGUAAUGGGCGAAAGCCUGAACCAGCAACGCCGCGUGUGCGAUGAAGGCCUUCGGGUUGUAAAGCACUUUUGACCGGGACGAGGAAGGACGGUACCCUCGGAGGAAGCACCGGCUAACUCCGUGCCAGCAGCCGCGGUAAUACGGAGGGUGCAAGUGUUAUUCGGAAUCACUGGGCGUAAAGAGCACGUAGGCGGAUGGGUAAGUCAGAUGUGAAAUCCCGGGGCUCAACUUCGGAACUGCAUUUGAUACUGCCCGUCUUGAGUGUGGUAGAGGGGGAUGGAAUUCCCGGUGUAGAGGUGAAAUUCGUAGAUAGCGGGAGGAACACCAGAGGCGAAGGCGAUCCCCUGGGCCAUUACUGACGCUGAGGUGCGAAAGCGUGGGGAGCAAACAG